rnacentral:rRNA from 1 species
UACGUAGGUGGCAAGCGUUGUCCGGAAUUAUUGGGCGUAAAGCGCGCGCAGGCGGUCCUUUAAGUCUGAUGUGAAAGCCCACGGCUCAACCGUGGAGGGUCAUUGGAAACUGGGGGACUUGAGUACAGAAGAGAAGAGUGGAAUUCCACGUGUAGCGGCGAAAUGCGUAGAGAUGUGGAGGAACACCAGUGGCGAAGGCGACUCUUUGGUCUGUAACUGACGCUGAGGCGCGAAAGCGUGGGGAGCAAACAGG